GGGUCAGUAGGUUGGUCGUGCCACCGGUACGUACUGGUCUCACUGAUUCCUCCUUGCUGAAGAACCGUAAUGCCAUUAAUUUGGUGUUGCGGGGAAACAGGACUGUUACUUUGAAAAAAUUUGAGUGUUUAAAGCAAGCUAACGCUUGAAUACAUUAGCAUGGAAUAAUGAAAUAGGACGAUCGAUCCUAUUUUGUUGGUUUCUAGGAUUGACGUA
rnacentral:rRNA from 1 species